AGAUGGAGAAAAAUAAAAGCCAAAGCCUUCAGACAAAUACUCGUAAGUCAAAGAGUGACAAGUGCCAGAACCGACUCCUUUUCAGAAGACAUUUUGAGAGCCACCAAGCUGCAGAUGCUAUCAUGACGCCAACCUGACUUCCCUGGACAGACAACCCCAUCAAUAUGUCCUGGAACCUGUCUCUCCAGAGCCUGCCCCACAAGGGAAACAUAGAAACAGGCUGGGAGUAUGGAUCAACCUGCCAAUGCCUAUAUCCAGCAGAGGAGCAAUUACAGAAACCUCCCACCUUCUGCCCCUCAUAAAGAUCUUUGGUCCAUGCUCCCAGAGGGAUAAAGAAAAAGAUAAGAUGCAGAACUCUGGUAGUGGGAACUGUGUGGAAUUGUACCCCUCUGAUCCUAUAAUCUUGUCGAUUAUUAUUAAAUCAAUAAAAAUAAUAAUUGAGAAAUUAAAUGAUUAAUUUUUAUUGAUACAAAGACCAAAACACCACUCCACCACUCAUUUUAUGUGGUGUCAAGGGUCAAACUCAGAGAUUCCUGCGUGCAAGUUAUAAGCUCCACUCACUUAGUGACCUCUGCUAUGACUCCUCUACAAUCCUGUCCCCAACUUAUCUUCUAACUUACCAGAAAUGUUAAGGUUAGUCAUCUAGUUAAUAUGGUCAUAGAGAUCUCGGCUAGUCACACCUUUUGAUGAAUCCCAAUCUUCAGAUAUGGCAGUUUAUAGAAACUAUGCUAUAACAAGGCUUCUAAAUAAUAUAGCUUAGGGGAGUGUUCAGGUCGUAGAACAAGAUGGUGGAGGAACUAGGUGGGGGAUUAGAGUGUUAUGUGGAAAAAUAAUAAAUGUUACACAUGUACCAGCUACUGUAUUUUACUACUGACUGUAAACCAUUAAUGCUCCCAAUAAAGAAAAAAAAACAUGA